CAAAAAUACUAGUAAAUCCUGAUUUUUGACAAUUUGAGAAUUGAAAAAUCAUGGCAAUUUCAGAGAAUUUGGCUAUGUGGAUGCUGAGGAGAGAGCCAGGAACCAAGCCCUCUUUAUAGAAAGGAUACUCAAACUUGAGAAGCAGAGAUGGGAGAGAGAGUCAGGACCCAUGCCAAUUCACCCAUCCUGUGUAGAAGAUGACAACAUGCUUGAUCUCUUCUGUUAAACUCUGACUCCAAAAGCCAGGGAGGACAUCAGGAUGAUGAUGAUGAUGAUGAUGAUGAUAUCAACGCGGGACUGAGAAUGGUGCAGACCAUUGUUACUGUGGACUGACAGUGAUGGUAUUCUCCAUCACUCCAACCCAAAAACAUUAGAGACCAAAUCUGUGAUGUGGUCACUGAUGUUUUCCAGAUGCAGGUGCAGGACAUGAUGGAGGCAUUCUUGCAAGACAUGACAUGGGCCAUCCACAGCUCUUUCUAGAAAAUUGCCAAAGAGAUUAUUAAUAAUGCUUGACCCCAUCAAAGAGAACCCUCUGGAGCAUAAGUAUUGUCUAUGUGUUCCAAUCAUGUUAUGCUGUCACCAUGGUGCAUCCUUACUUGGUUAUGUUUCAUUUAAGUACAGGUUUUUGCACACAUCCCACAUUGCAGUCUUGCUUUUAAUUUGUACCUCAUGAUGCAGACUUCACAGUCCAGAUGAUAUGGGGCCAUAUAAUUUCCCUGCAUUACAAGGCACGUUCAAAUAUGUCACUACCAUUAUUACUACUGUGUCACAUGAGCUUAAUAUGCUAUCAUUUAAGCAGACAGUGUUCCAGACAAGCAGGUAAAUUAUUCCUGCACUCAGUAUCUGCCUUUCCCCAUUUUCAUACAGUGGCUAUGAGAUUUUAUUUCUGAUCCAGCCUGACCUUCUAUAUGACAGAUAGGUCUAACGCAGUUUGCAGUCUGCCAGCAUCACACACAUUUGUUCUGUUGACAGUGCUCACAUGAUUAUGGAAAGGUGAUGACAUAUGGCAUAUGCAAUACAUUAAACCUGAUAGGUUUUAUGACAUUCCACACACACACACUACUAUAAGGCCAUUCUCCUGUGAAUAUGUGCACUUGGCGGUUGUUGCAAUGCUGUUUUUUGGUAUGCCUUUUGAGUUACAUGCCAUUUCACUGUAUUUGUCGUGUCCCAUUGGCAGUCUGUCCUUGUAUGUGAUGUUUCAUGUUACUGUGUGCCUUGUAUUACACAGUUUUCAUCUACUGUCAUCAUGUAUGCUUCAAGUAUUAACCUCUGCAUAGCCUGUCUCCUUGCUAUAUAACAUUAUUGGGAAGGACUGGUGUUCAACAUGUUUUUUUUUUUGCAUUUUAUGAUGGCAUAUUAAUGGCACAAGUAAUGAAUUACUGUACUGUGCAGUCUUUUCAUUAUGACAAAACACUGCAUUGUGCCUAAAGCUUCUCUGCUGUCAUAUAUACACCUUUGCUGCCUAUUCCACAUGUUAACAUAAUUGAGUGGUUUUCCUUCUGUGUAAUACACCUGCAUUACUUUGUAUGGCUGUACAUCUCUAUUACACUAAUAGCAACAAUACACAAAUUGCCUUUUAUAAUGUAAUAUUGUGAAUUAGUAUUGCUCCCACAAAUCGUGUGCCAUAGUUGUGUAUACAUGACUGUCCUUUAAUUAAUAUAUACAUUUUAUUAUCACUUUUUGUGCCAC